rnacentral:rRNA from 1 species
GAUGAACGCUGGCGGCGUGCUUAACACAUGCAAGUCGAACGAAGCACUUUAAUCCAUUUCUUCGGAUUGAAAUUUUAGUGACUGAGUGGCGGACGGGUGAGUAAUGCGUGGGUAACCUGCCUCACACAGGGGGAUAACAGUUGGAAACGGCUGCUAAUACCGCAUAAGCGCACAGUACCGCAUGGUACGGUGUGAAAAACUCCGGUGGUGUGAGAUGGACCCGCGUCUGAUUAGCUAGUUGGCAGGGUAACGGCCUACCAAGGCGACGAUCAGUCGCCGAACUGAGAGGGGGACGGGCCACAUUGGGACUGAGACACGGCCCAAACUCCUACGGGAGGCAGCAGUGGGGAAUAUUGCACAAUGGGGGAAACCCUGAUGCAGCGACGCCGCGUGAGCGAAGAAGUAUUUCGGUAUGUAAAGCUCUAUCAGCAGGGAAGAAGAAAUGACGGUACCUGACUAAGAAGCACCGGCUAAAUACGUGCCAGCAGCCGCCGUAA